AUGAAAACUCACCAAAACUCACCAAGAAAAUCCCUCAAGAAGUUCUCUCUAAAAUCACUGCUUCAAGCAUCGUCAACCUUCAUCUUCUUGGAACCCAACCUUCAAUUCUUUGGAACCCAACCUUCAAUUCUUUGCAAUCUUCAUCUCAAUCAUCAUCAGAAUUGCAACCGGCAUCAAUCACUGAAACAAAAACAAAUUUGCAUCACAAUUCUUGAGAGGAUCAUUAUCUUCGCAUAA